rnacentral:rRNA from 1 species
GACGAACCACACGAACGUUAUUCGGAAUUACUGGGCUUAAAGGGUGCGUAGGCGGCGCGGUAAGUAGGGUGUGAAAUCCCUCGGCUCAACCGAGGGAACUGCGCUCUAAACUACCGUGCUUGAGGGAGGUAGAGGUGAGCGGAACUUAGGGUGGAGCGGUGAAAUGCGUUGAUAUCCUAAGGAACACCGGUGGCGAAAGCGGCUCACUGGAUCUCUUCUGACGCUGAGGCACGAAAGCUAGGGUAGCGAACGGG